CGCGGCCAGCCUUGGCAGCGGCCCCUCCACCUCGCAAGCCACCACCGCGCGCCUGCCGCUCCGCCUACCAGCCUCCGUCCUUUGCCUUCCUCCUCCAGCUUCGUCUGCACUGCACGCCACCCCACUCACCCUCGCCGCCGGCCUGCCGCACCGCCGCCACCGCCAUGGACGGCCCUCAUAGUGAGUCCUAGCUAGAACACGCCCAUUCCCGCCGCGGGCGCCAUGGUCGCGCUGCCCGCACGGCACCUUUAGCAUCAGCGAGAAGCAGUCCCAAGCCAGGGUAUGCGCAGCCACCCAGGGCACCAGAGACCGCAAGUUGAUGCUAGAGGACGACGUGGAACAGUGCGCAAGUAAAGUGCUCGACGAAAUGUCUUAACUACUUGCUGUUGGUGGUCUUCGCGCAUUCCGCCUAUUGUGGUGAAGAGUCACCGACAUAUGAAGGUUACAAGAUCAAAAGAGCAGGAAAGGAUCAAGACAAGACAAUAGUAACAAAGGGACCUACCAAAAAUUAUCAUUGGGUGCCUCGAUAGUGGAACCACUUAAUAAAGAUUUCUGGGUUACAUUAGGUUCAAUAUCAAGUGAUCUAGCUUCGAAGCAGAAGGGACUCAGGUGACAAGCAAUUGGCAACACAAGCAUUUGAUCGUGCUCGAAGCAUUGAUCCCUCAUUUGCCUUGCCAUGGGCUGGAAAUAUCUCUACAGUUGCCAGUGGACCUGUGAGUUACAAAUGGCUGGGAGUCCCGGUGGGUGCAAUCUGAUUGUAAAAGGAGUGAAGGGAAAGCUGGAAGGUUAAAGCACACGGCCGGAACAUACUCUGGAGAUUCUGAUGCCAAAGAUUUAUUUUUCAUCCCUCGCACAUUUGUGUUUCAAUUGACUAUGAAUACAAACAACAAUGGAUGCUAGGCAUUUUCCUAUCUCAGCGAAGUUCCCACAAUUCAGUAACAAGAACAGGACACUGAUGGUCCAGUACUCCAUCAAGUUUGAGCAGGAUAUCGAGUGCAGUGGUGGAUAUAUUAAGCUUAUGUCCGGUUAUGUCAACCAGAAAAAUUUAGUGGGGACACUCCAUAUAGUGAAUAUGAAUUGCAGCCUCUAUUGUUAGAACUGUGGAUUUUGCUGCUGAGGUACAAGAUGUGCUUAGAAAUCUUAGUGGCAACAGGGAAUCAAUGAAGGGAAUAAAGUCAUGGUUUAUGCAGAGGGCAGAGGGUGCUGUUUGUGUCGGCUCUGCCUCAAGUUCUUAAGGAAAGAGUAUUUGCCUUUGAGGAUUCAGAGGGGCAGCUGCACAUUAUUUUCCUGGUGAAUGAUAUUUUGUUUGAAAGGUA